rnacentral:misc_RNA from 1 species
AACUCGUAGUCUUUCGAAUGUAAAUAGGGUGUUGGUUCAAUAUUUUGACCUUCAGUUACGGAUAACGUAAAAAUCUGGGCAUUUCUGGUUGUUGUCUUCUCCAGAUGGGUUGUACGUAUGUCAAUUGCAUUUGACAUCUUCUUUAAUGCAGAAGAACGAUAAAAAAUGACGAAACACUUUGUUCUGUCUAUGUUUAUGUACCAAUGUAUAUUGAUAAUUUUAUCAUGGAUUCCCUCAACGUACUGCUUUUAUUAUCUUAGUUUAGAUGGCAGGUGGACAGCUUCAAAUGGAAAUAACAGUAUUGUUGUUUCUGCCAACGUGCCUGGUGGAAUUUACACCGAUUUGGUGAAGACAGGUGCAUUGGACGAUCCAUACUUUAGGUACAACGACUUGGAAUACCGCUGGGUGGCGCUAGAAAACUGGACCUAUACUAGAGAUUUUGAUGUGCCAAAUGAUUUUUUGAGCACUACGAGAAUAUCAUUGGUGGCUCAUGGAUUAGACACCGUCGGAGAAGUUUUUAUAAACGAUCAGCGAGUGGGAACUUCCAAUAACAUGUUUGUUAGAUAUGUCUUUGACGUCAAGGAUAUCCUCAAGAAAGAAAAUAACACAAUUAGUGUGAAAUUCGAAUCAGCAGUCCUUUACGCUAAGCAGAAACAUCUGGAACAACUGAUGUACUAUGUUAUACCUCCCGUUUGCCCUCCUCCUACUGAGAAAGGUUUAUGCCACGUGAACUACAUUAGAAAAAUGCAAUGUUCGUUCAGUUGGGAUUGGGGUCCAGCUUUUCCAUCCCAAGGCAUUUGGAAAUCAAUUGGGCUUGAAGGUUAUGACAAAGUUAUCAUCAGAAAUUUAGUUGUAAAUACCUUUCCUGUUAUAAUCAGCAAUGUUUUUCCGACUUGGGCAAUAUCAGUAACUGUUCAUUUAGAAACAGUGGGUACAUCACCAGCAGAUGGCACUCUUGAAGUGAAAUUGGAUGAAAAUACUUUAAUAAAGUACACCAAUGUUACAGUACAGCCAGAUAUUCAAGGUUUUGCAAAGAUAAAAUUCAACAUCACAAUACCAAGGAACAUUUCCAUAAAACAGUGGUGGCCAAAUGGUUAUGGGGAUCAACCCCUCUACAACCUCACUGUCAGUUACAUUGAGGACAGCACUGAAGAAAAUACAUCAAAAACUGUUCGAAUAGGUUUUCGAACAGUUGAACUCAUUCAAGAUGUUCUAGAUAAUGACCAUGGUUUAAGUUUCUACUUCAGAGUGAAUGGGAUUCCAAUUUUUGCUAAGGGUUCUAACUGGAUACCUGCAGAUGUAUUUCCAGAGAGAGUAACUCGAGAUUACAUCCAAAAUCUUCUCCAGUCUACUAAGGAUGCCAAUAUGAAUAUGUUGAGAGUAUGGGGAGGUGGAAUAUAUGAAAGUGAUGAGUUUUAUCACAUUGCAGAUGAACUAGGUAUCUUAAUUUGGCAAGACUUAAUGUUUGCUGCUUCUUUAUAUCCAGUAAAUGAUGAAUUCUUGUAUACUGUAGCUGAAGAAGUGAAACAGCAGAUUAGACGAUUGCAACAUCAUCCUUCAAUAAUUAUCUGGGCUGGAAACAAUGAAAAUGAACAGGCCUUGGCUUCUCAGUGGUGGCCAGUUAUAGGUACUCGGCAGGAGCAAUAUAGAAACGACUAUUUGAAGCUCUACAUAAAAACAAUAAGGCCUAUUGUGAUGAAGGAAGAUAAUUCAAGACAGUUUUUAUCUUCAAGUCCUUCCAAUGGCCUAGCAACUGAGCAGGCUGGCUGGAUAGCUUGGGAUCCCCAGGAUACUCACUUUGGUGAUGUUCAUUAUUACAACUAUGGCAAAGAUGGCUGGGACUGGCACACAUAUCCUCGCCCUAGAUUUGUUUCUGAGUAUGGAUUUCAGUCCUAUCCAUCAUUUGAAACACUGAAAAAUAUUUCAAAGCCAGACGAUUGGACCUAUCCUUUCAGUCAGUUUCUAGAACAUCGGCAGCACCAUGCACUAGGUGGUAUAGAGAUUAAACUCUCCAUUAUACGUCACAUGAAUAUUCCCCCUUAUGAUGCAGGAGAAAAAGGAUUUAAACAACUUUUGUAUUUAUCACAGAUUAACCAAGCAAUGAGUAUCAAAACUGAGACUGAGUACUAUCGACGAUGUCAAAGUGAUAUUGUAAAGGGAGAAGGCCUUACUAGAGGUGCCCUCUAUUGGCAACUAAAUGAUAUUUGGCAAGCACCAUCGUGGUCAUCCAUUGAAUAUGGUGGUAAAUGGAAAAUGCUGCAUUAUUUUGCUGUCAAGUUUUUUGCUCCCCUGUUAGCUUCACCAUUUGAAGAUGGAAAAGGAAAUAUUAGUGUAUCUGUAAUCUCAGAUUAUCUUACACCACAACGAAACCUUACUUUACACACAGUUGUCCACAGAUGGGACACAUUUUUACCCAAACUGGACAUUAGAACCCUGUUUGAUCAGCCUCCACAAAGUUCUCAAGUAGUUUUUACAUAUCCACUGGAUGAAAUCCUUAAAAAGGCAAAAUGCUCUAGGGAAGAAUGUUUCUUCUUCUUUUACCUUACAAACAGAGAUGGAGAGCAAGAGGGACCUUCAAAUGAAAUUUUCUUAUCACCACUGAACAAAGCUAAAGGAAUUCAAAAGCCUAAAGUAAAGGUGGCAAAUGUUACCAAAUCCACUGUUACUUCUGAAACUUUUGAUAUCCAUCUGGAAGCUGAUGCCAUCACACCAUUCUUAUGGCUUCAUGCUGAAGACAUCAAAGGACAUUUUUCAGACAAUGGCUUUCUUGCCACAUCUUCAAAAUUUACUGUUCAUUUUCUUACAGAAGAAUACAUAGAGACUGAAGAAAUGCAAAGAAAACUGGAGAUAAUGACACUUAUGGACAGCUAAAUACUUCUGUUCCUGUUGUCUCAUAUUGGAUAUAUAUAUAUAUAUAUAUAUAUAGACACACACUUCCACCUACUGCUCUCAUACCAACCUGAUAUAUGGUUUUUAGUGAAAUAAGAAUCCACAGCAACUGAAGGAAGUUCUUUAAGGGAGGGGACACUAGUCAAGAUAGUGAAGGGAAUAGUUUGUGGAAGUUGGCUAUCCAGAUUCUCAACCUGCAAUGAAAAACAAAAUAACAAGAAGUUAUAGGAUAUACUUUUAUAACUUUUCAUAAUUUUUAAGUAUUUACUUUUUAGUUGGAUCCUUACUUGAUGAAAUUGUGCACUUCAAACAAACAACUUUUAUAGAUACUUCAUGUAUUACCAUUAAUAUUCCAUGGCAGUAUAAAAUGAUAAUCUAGGUUUGUAACAUUAAACUAUCUACUUUCUAAUCUGGGUGUCUAAUAAUGCUAAAUUAAUAGAAACUGUUUGAAAAAAUUUUCUAAUGUUAAUUACCAUCUUCAGUAGUACUCUAAAAAUAUAGGAUUGAAAAUAAAAGAAUAUUAUAAUUAUCAGGAAUUCAACUCCAGAAUAAAAAUUCUAAUACAGGGUAGCAUUUUUUUAAACUAUUCUUAAAUACUAUUUGAUGUUGUUCUUUCUGUGGCACGUGUAGCUAAAUUAAAUAUAGAAUGUCAGUUGCUAUCUAGCCAUUUUUGAUACGAGCUCAAAAAGUUUUUCACCAGAAUCAAAUUUAGACAACUUUGAAGUAUGCACAGUAUGAUGGAAGAGAAAUUUACCACAAGACAAAAACUGUCACUUAAAUGUAGUGUUAAUACCAAUUAAGAACGUAUAUGCAUGCAGUCUAGUUAUUUUACACAUACACUAGGCAGUGAAUAAAAUAACUUUUAAAUUUC